AUUGAACGCUGGCGGCAGGCCUAACACAUGCAAGUCGAACGGUAGCACAGAGAGCUUGCUCUCGGGUGACGAGUGGCGGACGGGUGAGUAAUGUCUGGGAAACUGCCCGAUGGAGGGGGAUAACUACUGGAAACGGUAGCUAAUACCGCAUAACGUCGCAAGACCAAAGUGGGGGACCUUCGGGCCUCACACCAUCGGAUGUGCCCAGAUGGGAUUAGCUAGUUGGUGGGGUAAUGGCUCACCAAGGCGACGAUCCCUAGCUGGUCUGAGAGGAUGACCAGCCACACUGGAACUGAGACACGGUCCAGACUCCUACGGGAGGCAGCAGUGGGAAUAUUGCACAAUGGGCGCAAGCCUGAUGCAGCCAUGCCGCGUGUAUGAAGAAGGCCUUCGGGUUGUAAAGUACUUUCAGCGAGGAGGAAGGCAUUAAGGUUAAUAACCUUAGUGAUUGACGUUACUCGCAGAAGAAGCACCGGCUAACUCCGUGCCAGCAGCCGCUGUAA
rnacentral:rRNA from 1 species